GAACGCUAGCUACAGGCUUAACACAUGCAAGUCGAGGGGAAACGAUAUUGGAAGCUUGCUUCUGAUAGGCGUCGACCGGCGCACGGGUGAGUAACGCGUAUCCAACCUGCCCAUCACUUGGGGAUAACCUUGUGAAGUAAGACUAAUACCCAAUGACGUCUCUAGAAGACAUCUGAAAGAGAUUAAAGAUUUAUCGGUGAUGGAUGGGGAUGCGUCUGAUUAGCUAGUUGGUGAGGUAACGGCCCACCAAGGCGACGAUCAGUAGGGGUUCUGAGAGGAAGGUCCCCCACAUUGGAACUGAGACACGGUCCAAACUCCUACGGGAGGCAGCAGUGAGGAAUAUUGGUCAAUGGACGAGAGUCUGAACCAGCCAAGUAGCGUGCAGGAUGACGGCCCUAUGGGUUGUAAACUGCUUUUAUAAGGGAAUAAAGUGAGUCUCGUGAGGCUUUUUGCAUGUACCUUAUGAAUAAGGACCGGCUAAUUCCGUG
rnacentral:rRNA from 1 species